rnacentral:rRNA from 1 species
GGAGGGUGCAAGCGUUAUCCGGAUUCACUGGGUUUAAAGGGUGCGUAGGUGGGGUGGUAAGUCAGUGGUGAAAUCUCCAGGCUUAACUUGGAAACUGCCAUUGAUACUAUCAUUCUUGAAUACCGUGGAGAUGAGCGGAAUAUGUCAUGUAGCGGUGAAAUGCUUAGAUAUGACAUAGAACACCAAUUGCGAAGGCAGCUCGUUACACGAAUAUUGACACUCAGGCACGAAAGCGUGGGGAUCAAACAGGAUUAGAUACCCUGGUAGUCCACGCCCUAAACGAUGGAUACUCGACAUUUGCGAUAAACUGCAAGUGUCUGAGCGAAAGCAUUAAGUAUCCCACCUGGGAAGUACGAUCGCAAGAUUGAA